UACGAAGGGGGCUAGCGUUGUUCGGAAUCACUGGGCGUAAAGCGUCUGUAGGUGGCUUUUUAAGUCCGCCGUCAAAUCCCAGGGCUCAACUCUGGACAGGCGGUGGAAACUACCAAGCUCGAGUACGGUAGGGGCAGAGGGAAUUUCCGGUGGAGCGGUGAAAUGCGUAGAGAUCGGAAAGAACACCAACGGCGAAAGCACUCUGCUGGGCCGACACUGACACUGAGAGACGAAAGCUAGGGGAGCGAAUGGG
rnacentral:rRNA from 1 species